UCUGGGAUAGUUCAGCCAAUAGAGCAUGAGACCCUUAAUCUCAGGGUUCUGAGUUCAAGUCCCACAUUGGGAA